GCUGGGAUGGCCGAGUCGUUAAGGCGAGUGAUUUGAAUUUCCACUAUCACUUGGUGUUUCACCGCGUAGGUUCAAAUCCUGCUUCCAGCG